UACGUAGGUGGCAAGCGUUGUCCGGAUUUACUGGGCGUAAAGAGCGCGCAGGCGGUCGGAUCAGUCGAAUGUGAAAGCCCCCGGCUCAACUGGGGAGGGUCAUUCGAUACUGUCCGACUCGAAGGCAGGAGAGGGAAGCGGAAUUCCCGGUGUAGUGGUGAAAUGCGUAGAUAUCGGGAGGAACACCAGUGGCGAAGGCGGCUUUCUGGCCUGUUCUUGACGCUGAGGCGCGAAAGCUAGGGUAGCAAACGGG
rnacentral:rRNA from 1 species